AAAACUGAUAGUUGUUAACUAUCAGUGAGUAUUCGUUCUGAUAUAAGCUUAUGCAAGGAGAAAUAAUUCUUGUUACUCAUAUUAACAUUAUUGCUUCUAUGUGUUGAUAGAAUAGUCCAGUAUGAGAUUAGGAGUUAGUUUGGGUUGCUUAUGUGAGCUUUUUCUUGUUUAGUGAGGUGAGCCUGUAUUGCAAUGAAUUUCCCUCUUAGGACUGCUUUUGCUGCAUCCCAAAUGAUUUGGUAUGUCGUGUUCUCAUUUUCAUUUGUCUCCAGAUAAUAUUUGAUUUCUUGUUUAAUUUCUUCAAUAAUCCAUUGUUUGUUCAGAAGCGUGUUGUUUAGUCUCCACAUUUUUGCACCUUUCUCUGCUUUUUUCUUGUAGUUGAUUUCUAGUUUCAUAGCAUUAUGAUCAGAAAAGAUGCUUGAUAUUAUUUCAACUCUCUUGGAUUUACUGAUGCUUGCUUUGUUUCCCGAAAUAUGGUCAAUCCUUGAGAAUGUUCCAUGUGCACUUGAGAAGAAUGUGUAACCUGCUGUUUUUGGAUGAAGUGUUCUAUAUAUAUCUAUUAAGUCCAUCUGGUCUAAUUUUUCAUUUAAUUCUAUUAUUUCCUUGUUGAUUUUCUGUCUGGAUGUUCUGUCCAUUGGUGUUAAUGGUGUGUUGAGGUUCCCUACUAUUAUUGUAUUGUUGUUGAUGUCUUCUUUUAGUUCUGUUAGGAGUUGCUUUACAAAUUUUGGUGCUCCUGUGUUGGGUGUGUAUAUAUUUAUAAGUGUUAUGUCUUCUUGGUGGAGAGUCCCUUUUAUCAUUAUAUACUGUCCCUCUUUGUCUUUCUUUAUCUGUUUUGCUUUGAAGUCUACCUUGUCUGAUAUUAGUAUAGCGACACCUGCUUUCUUUUGUUCAUUAUUAGCUUGGAGUAUUUUUCUCCAUCCCUUCACUCUGAGUCUGUGUUUGUCUUUGGGGCUGAGGUGUGUUUCCUGGAGGCAGAAUAUUGUUGGGUCUUGUUCUUUGAUCCAUCCUGCCACUCUGUGUCUUUUGAUUGGGGAGUUCAAUCCAUUUACAUUUAGAGUGAUUAUU
rnacentral:lncRNA from 1 species